GCGCCAACGCUCAAAAAACCCUAGCCACUUCUAACUCUAGCCGUCCAGCGUCGCUUCCCUCUCUCCAGCGCCGCCUCCCUCCCUCCAGCGCCGCUUCCCUCCCAUGCCUCCUUCGUCGCCGGCCUCCCUCCAGCGCCGUCUCCAGCGCCGCCAUCUCCAGCGUCGACCUCCAGCGUUGCCUCCAUCCAGCAUCGCCGACCUCCAGCGCCGCCUCCAGCCAACAUCACCGACCUACCGUCCUCCACCUCCAGUGCCGCCUCUAGGGACCUCGAAUUCGAUUCUAGCGACCUUCGUCCUUGGAAGAAAGUUUCAGCUUGGACUCAAACCAUGGAGGGUGACUCUACGAGUUGUCGUCAUUUGAACUUUGAAGAAAAUGAAGCUAGUCAGGAAGGUGACUUGAUGUUAUUGAUGAAGGGUUUUGUAAAUUUUGGAAGUUGGAGAUUUUUGAUAGGCUAAAUUUCUCUUAUAUUGUGAAAACUAAUAGAUGAAGUUUCUACUGAUGUAAACAUUUUAGUGAGCUAAACUUUAGUGUGCAAUUGUUGUUUUUUUGGAGGAUUUGUUUGUAAAGAUUCUACUUAUGUAAACAUUUUAGAAUGUGGAGAUCUUGUGAUGAUUUUAUUUUAUGGUGA